rnacentral:rRNA from 1 species
UCCUCUUAGGAAAAGAGGUAAGGCCUGCUCACUGAAUAUUUAAAGAGCCGCAGUAUCCUAACUGUGCUAAGGUAGCAUAAUCAUUAGUCUUUUAAUUGAAGACUGGUAUGAAUGGCUAAACGAGAAAUCAACUUUUUUUGUUAUAAAAAUUGAAUUUAAUUUUUUAGUGAAAAAGCUAAAAUUUUUCAGAAAGACGAGAAGACCCUAUAGAGUUUUAUAUCUCAAAAUACUUUAUUUAAAUAGAUUUUUUCAAAUAAAGUAUGAAAAGGUAUUUUGUUGGGGCGACAUUAAGAUAAGAAAAACUCUUUAUUUUAAAAAUUUUUAUGGAAAUAUACUUGAUCCUCUAAAAGAGAUCAAAAGAAAAAAUUACCUUAGGGAUAACAGCGUAAUCUUUUUUGAGAGUUCUAAUCGACAAAAAGGUUUGCGACCUCGAUGUUGGACUAAAAUUUAGGCAGGGUGCAGCAGUUCUGCUUUAAG